rnacentral:misc_RNA from 1 species
UGAAUUCAUUGAGAAAUAUGGUACCCACAUUGUUGUUGGAGUAGAUAUGGGUGGUAAAGAUGUAAUUCACAUAAAGCAAUUACAGAAAUCAAAUGUUGAGCCUCCUGAAGUACAGAAAUUGUUGACACAGUUAGCUGAUGAGAGGUUUUCUGAGGAGGAAAAUGCUGCUAUACGUUCAAGAAAAUCAAAGCAAGAUGGACAUUCUGUGUCAUGGGAUCUCCAUGGAUUUGCUACCUCAGUAAGGCUUCCUGUCAUUAAUUCCUUAAAGAAUGAGGUGAGCUGUUGGGUAUUUAUUGCAACAGUUGAAUGCGUCCAGUGGGACACAACCUGAUCUGAUGAUCAGGCUAAGAAUUUUAAUUGAUUUAUUGUUAUUAUUUUGGCAGGAUAUAUUGAGCAUAGCUAUUCGAAGGGGAGGUGUGGAUAUUGGUCAAAGUCAUUAUGAGUGGCUCUCAACUAUAUCACAGUCACCAAAUGUCAUCUCCAUGUCCUUUGUGCCUAUAACUUCU